rnacentral:lncRNA from 1 species
AUAAUAUGGUGCAUUCAGUUUACUCCACAAGUGGUUAACAUUUUAAGUCCUAGAUUUUUUAUGUCUUGCCUUUGUAUAAGCAUCGCUUUGGGGAAUACCAAGAUGAUUCAUUAUUCAGUGAUUAUUUUCUUGAAAGAUAACUAUGAUGAUUGGCUGUAAAAUCUUCACCCUAAUAAAGGAGUGAGAUCUCUGUGUAAACAGCUUUCUGAAGGACUGAUAAUAGAAUAGAACUUGCAGCCAAAGGCUUUUUCCCUUUUGAGAAGACGGUAUUUGUGUAAGGAGUGCUAAGGUAGACUUCAUUGUACAUAGAGUGCCAUAUUCUGUUGAAACGAUCAUAACAAAAUCAAAACCUCAUGCUUCAGCAAAAAGGAAAAAAGAUUUUUAAAUUACUUUGUCUAUUACUUACUGCUCAUAGAGAAGUGACUAUAUAAAAUGGUCCAAUUUUCUCAUUUCUGGUGGUGCCUGUGAGUCUUAAAGCCAUAUCUGCUUAUCUUACUGUUGAUAGAAUACUUUUUUUCUUUUUAGCCCAUGAUAAGUAAUAUGGGCAGGUAGAAGCAAACUGGAGACUGUCCUGUUAAUGCUGCAUGGGGCACAAUGUCUUUCAAAUUAUUGGUGGAAGAAUCUCUUUUAUCCAUGGCGAGAGGUAAGAAUAUUAAAGAGUCAGGAUAUUGUUGCUCCUGGUAUUUAACAACUGUCAUUAGAAAUGCUGAAAUUUAAUUGUAGAGAAGUCAAGAAAGAAAGAGUAAACUGAGAAAAUCUUACUACUACAGAGUCACUUUUACAAUGAGACCUGCACUUUAUGCCAGCACUGUUUGUGAGGAGCAGUACUGCCUUAAAUUAGUUUGACUCUGACUGAUGUCAGUGUACGUUACUUCCUUUAUGUGACUGACAGUCAGCUUUCCAUUGAGAUAUAACAUUCACAGAUGAUCCCCAAGUAUCCUUGUCAUCAGAAGCUUUGGACCUUUUCUGCCACUGACUUGUGGCUGAUCUGUAACACAAUAAAUACAUAAUUUUAUUUCAUGUUGUCUGUCCACCUCUGAAUAAGCAGUGGCAUGACCAAAAAGACUGGUAGAAGGAGAGAAUUUCUUGGCCAAAUCCUUCAUACCAGGUACCACUUCUUGAGUAACUGAGAGUUGACUGUCUUCUAUGGUGACUACAUAGAAGAUAUUUCCAAAGGUUCUGUUAUGCAGUGAAGACAUUCAGAUUAUUUGUAAGAAUUUCACCAACACCCUUGUGUAUUGAAAUGCUUAACCAUUAACAGGGAAAAAAAAGGAGAAAACCGAACAAAACAGAGACAUUUACUUGAAAUGGGAGGUUUGCUAAUGUGAAGAGUGUUUCUGUUUUAUUACUUAUAAGAGAAAAGCAGGAAAACUUUUGCUUUGAUAAGAAAGACACCAGAGUGGUGAUUCUGUUUGAUGCCACAGGCUAACACAAUCGUGUAAUCAUGUUGAGUUGUAGAAAUAUAUGGCCCUAAAAACCAUUCUCUUUCCCUUAUAUAUAUAAAUAUGUGAACACUGCCUAGUAACAUUUUAAUAGAUUUAAGAUGCAUUUGUACAUUCUCAGCAAACUAGAAGAAAAUGUUUUUUCUCUUUUUGAGUUAACUUCAUAGCAUAGAGAACCAGCACUGUGCAGGUUUCAGCAUUUCAGAUAAGGGCAUAAUUAAUUGUGUAACUUAAUGCCCUGUUAUUCAUUGCUGAGGUUCAUAUAAAGAAUAGAAAAAUUGAAAGAUGGGUUUGGGCGACAUUUUCUUCCCAAAAGAUCAAGUAAGGAGUAAGAACAAGUAAGGGAAGACAGCUAAGAGAACAUACUAUGACAUAUCAUAGAAUUGGGAUACAUUUUUGUUGCACUGGAUUUCAGGCUAUACUGCUAAAAUAAUUUCUACCUGUUAAAUUUUGUGAGAGGGUUUUUGACAUCAGAAUUUUUGUAUUUCUGGUCAAAUUGGUCUUGGAAAUCCCUAUGGUCUCUAAUUUCAGCUCUUGCUGUAAACUGCAAGCCAAAUGCUCUUUCUCAGAAAGAGCUAUAUUUUUCUCUUCUUACAGGCAACCCAAUAUUUAUUUCAUAAAGUGUUAUAAAUAUUGAGAAGAUACACUGGGGAGAUAGCAUAUAAAAAUGAUGCUCCAAAAUGAGAAUUCUAUAUGGGGCUUUCCCUAAGAAGAAUCCAUCCCAGCACAUAUUUUGAAAAGGUGCUGAAUUAAAAAGUACAAGAGUUUGCUCAUAUAAAUCAAGUUGCCCAGGAAACCUGAGGUGAUGCUAUCAUUUGUCUCAUAAUUUAGAAACGUGAUCUCUUGAGAGAGAGACUACGCAUUGCCUGGGCACUUUCAGAUUCCUUAGGAAGUGCCCCUUUGAUAUUUGGAAUGUGGAUAUAUUUAUAAAACAAAUGGAUUGUUAUUCCAAAUCCACAUGGAUUUAUAACCAAGCCCCAGAAGAAUAGGCAGCUUUGAAAUAGCUAGUUCGUGGAAUUGAACAGAACCUUGAUGGAAUGCAGUUGCCUGUGUGAGGACAGAAAACAAAGAGGCUGCCUCAGACCACAUGCCUAUCUAGAGAUUAAGUGAAUUUGUGAGGGACAUUUUGUGGAUGCCUUAAAGAUGACCAGUGGUGGGUUCUGAUGGGAAUAUAUACACUCAUCUGGACUAGGCCAAUGGAAGCAGUCUCUUUCAGUUCACCUCCGUACAGCACAAGUUGUUCCUGCUCAUGACCUCAUUGAGGAAAAUGAGAAUUGUGGUGCUGGUGACUUUCAUGUGUCUUGGGAGGUUGAGGUGUUCAACAUCGUUAAGGCACUCCCAAAACGCAAACCUCCUUUUUUAAAUGCCAAUUGUACAUCUACAUUAAUUCAUCUAUGCAAACUUGUGUUUUCAUGGUUUGUUUUUUACACUAUAUUUCUCAUUAGGUUCUUUAAACAUCAGGUUUAAUAUUGAUAUUAUGAAUAAUUUUUAAACCAAAGUAUUCUAUAAGUCUGUGUGCUUUGUUUUCCUGGAUGGUUUGACCAAGGUAAACAUCAGUCUUGUCCUUCUCUCUUAAUAAAGUCAUCCAUUUGUUAAGUCAGUGGUCUCUGUCUCAUGUUUUUGUUUUGUUUCUUUACAGCAUUCAAGGACAGGGAAACUUACGAGAGUCUUAUUAUAAUUAUUAUUAUUUACAAAAUGACCCUAAUAGGUCUGUUUAGUAACAGUGAAAUUUUUUCUUACUCCAUUUCCAUACACUUUCUGUAAAUAUGUAUAACAUGAUAAUGAUGCCUGGUGUAUUGAAAUCCUCAAUAAAUACUGCCAAGUGUGGAUCAGUUGG